AGAGUUUGAUCCUGGCUCAGGAUGAACGCUAGCGGCAGGCUUAAUACAUGCAAGUCGAGGGGCAGCAUGACUGUAGCAAUACAGUUGAUGGCGACCGGCAAACGGGUGCGGAACACGUACAGAACCUUCCUUCGAGCGGGGAAUAGCCCAGAGAAAUUUGGAUUAAUACCCCAUAGCAUAUUGAUAAGGCAUCUUAUUAAUAUUAAAGAUUUAUCACUUGAAGAUGGCUGUGCGGCUGAUUAGGUAGUUGGCGGGGUAACGGCCCACCAAGCCUGCGAUCAGUAACUGGUGUGAGAGCACGACCAGUCACACGGGCACUGAGACACGGGCCCGACUCCUACGGGAGGCAGCAGUAAGGAAUAUUGGUCAAUGGACGAAAGUCUGAACCAGCCAUGCCGCGUGGAGGAUGAAGGUCCUCUGGAUUGUAAACUUCUUUUAUAUGGGACGAAAAAGGGCCUUUCUAGGCCAACUGACGGUACCAUAUGAAUAAGCACCGGCUAACUCCGUGCCAGCAGCCGCGGUAAUACGGAGGGUGCAAGCGUUAUCCGGAUUCACUGGGUUUAAAGGGUGCGUAGGUGGGUUGGUAAGUCAGUGGUGAAAUCCCCGAGCUUAACUUGGGAACUGCCAUUGAUACUAUCAGUCUUGAAUACCGUGGAGGUUAGCGGAAUAUGUCAUGUAGCGGUGAAAUGCUUAGAUAUGACAUAGAACACCAAUUGCGAAGGCAGCUGGCUACACGAAUAUUGACACUGAGGCACGAAAGCGUGGGGAUCAAACAGGAUUAGAUACCCUGGUAGUCCACGCCCUAAACUAUGGAUACUCGACAUACGCGAUACACAGUGUGUGUCUGAGCGAAAGCAUUAAGUAUCCCACCUGGGAAGUACGAUCGCAAGAUUGAAACUCAAAGGAAUUGACGG
rnacentral:rRNA from 1 species